AAGUCGUAACAAGGUUUCCGUAGGUGAACCUGCGGAAGGAUCAUUGCUAAUAUUAAAUCCCGGCCGUUUUCGCGGCCUGAUUUAAAGGGGUAGCGCCCACAAAAACACACCCUUUUGUGCACUGCUGGACCGAUGACGUGUCAUCACUAUUUUGGGCUCAGAUUUUGGGCCCAAAGGAGUGGUGAUUCAUCCCAUGAAAUUAUCGAAACACCCAAUUGAAACCAAGAUGUGAUCUGACGUGAUAUCUGGUCGUCGACCAGAGUUAUUUUGCUAAUUUAACAAAAUACAACUUUCAACAAUGGAUCUCUUGGCUCUC
rnacentral:misc_RNA from 1 species